GGGAAUGUGGCUUAGUGGUAGAGCACUUGCCUAGGAGGCAUGAAGCCCUAAGUUCAAUUUCUCAGCACUUUAU
rfam:Dipodomys ordii contig_66450, whole genome shotgun sequence.